CUACUCCCCCACUGACCUAGAGAAACAUCGGGUACACGACAAAGCAAAGCUUUCUAAAUAACAGCUGUCAUUACAUUGACAGAUUCAUGCGGCAGAGCGCAUGUGACCAAUUUUGUAUGUAGGAAUUUUUCUUUCAUGUCAUAUGAAUGACUGCGAUAUUGAGGCAGGCAUACUUAAGGACUUUGUUUUAAGCAUUGAGUUAGUUCAGUGCGGAGCGAGUAAUCUAACGGUCGUUGAUACGUCGUGCAGAGCGUGCAUUAGAGAAAUUGUCCAUUUUGCAAAUCAAGCGCAUUGCAGUGAAGUGAAAACAGAUUUCCUUUUUUGAGGGACUAAUCGUUAAAAACAAAAAAAAAAAAAAACAAAAAAACAGUAAAGUCGCCCGUUUUAGAAUUUGCCUUUUGUUGGAUUUUUUGUUUCUGCCCCAUUCAUUGCUUGGGACUUGAGCUGUGUUAUUUGCCUUCACACUGUGAUUGAAAGUGGAUAUUUGCAAUUAUUUGCUUCUUCGCCAAGGUCUCUAUCAAGAGCAAGUGUGGACAGACAUUGGCCCCAUCCUGCCAGCUAGUUAGACGGGGUUUGAUUAGGUGUUUCCUUAAAUAGACUUUGAUAUAUCGUAUUGCCGCCUUGUGAAGAAAGAAAUUUGCAAAUGUAUGAAUAAAUCUUUUCGUAAUCUGAGGAAGAAUAAACAAAACUUUGCUCGGAAGGCGAAAAAAUCUAUCACAACAAAUUUAUAUGAAAUAUACAAAACAAUACAUCCCUUUUUAAUACAAGUUGCCUUAAGCGCUCAGAGCGAGCACAAGAGGAAGAGAAAGAGCGGCAAAUUCACCACUUCACUCACUCAAUCAACGCAAACUUCACCACUCGCUGGCGACCCAACAUCUGUGGGUGAAGGAGCAUGGAAUUGCGGAGGUUCGCUCCAAUAGUUGAAUAAAAGUGUGAUGUAGCGAUUGAAUCGGAAUCAGUCACGUGCUACUUUCGCUGCGAGUCAAGACUUGAGCGCGCCUAAAAGUAUACGCCUGUAACGACCUCACACAACCACAAACAUAGUCACCAUCGACAACACCUCAGAUAGCACAGCUAAGAGGACGAACAAACGAAGGACCAUCGAUACAGCUGGGUGCACAUAGCGAUAGCCACACACACCAGAGUAUUUGCGCCACGGUUUGCCAUACCUCAUACCUGCAUGAGAGGCUGUACGGUACUGUGUUUGUGGCUGGAACAAAAAUACGCGCGUGAGUUCGUGUGGGUGUCGUAUGUCUCUCUGAGUGUUUGAUUGUUUUCGGUGUGAGCAUUUUGUUGUGCGUUCUUUAAGGCUGGCUGGCCGACUGCAUGAAUGAAUGAGUGAAGACCAGCAACAACAAAGCCAACAACAGCCGUUCGUUUUGGCCAUUGUUGAGUCCUAAAAGUGUGGGAGAAAAACAAAAACAAAAGCACAGGAAGCGGAAAGCGGAGAGACUCCACGCCGAAGACAAACCAAAGUCCGCAAUUAAACCAGCCGACAGUGACUCACCGCCAUCACCACCGACACCACCAUCGCUCGCGCACCCUUUCAGAUAGCGGAAAGGGACCACUUUGAAUUAAAUAAACCUCAAUGAAAUCAGUGUCAGCAAACGCUGCACAGUGUCUGUAAACCGCAAACGAAAACGCACAAUUUUAAACCGACAAAAGCCUUUUUGGUCGCGCCCGUGUCAACGUCGAAGACCAAAUCUAGUCUAAUCUUAGCUAAUCCAAUUCAACUUGAUUUAAUCCUACCAAAAACAAAUCCAGCAGACUUGCACAAAUCGCUGACUUAAGUCUGUCAUAAAAAGUAAAAAAAAAAAAAAAACAAAAAUAAAAUCGAAAUCGAAAAGAGAAGAAAACAACCAAAGAAAGCUACAAAGAUACAUAUGUUUUUACUUUGAAACAUAUUCUUGUUGUUGUUGUUAUUGUUAUUGUUAAAUUGAUUUUUGAUUUUCCAUAACAAAUCACGAAGUCAACCGAAAACAAAACCAAAACCAAACCAAAUCGUUUGUUUAUCCUUUGCCCGUCCUGUGUAAAUAAGAAUUCCAAAAAUCCUGCACGAAGAAAAAAACUAACUGAAAAGCAAUCUAAGCAAGCGGAGCUAUCAUACUAACGGAGCAUACAACGAGCAGUAGCAUUACAUGUGCAGCGUAUGAAUCCGUCUCCGGCUCAAAUUGUUCAGCAAAAGAAUCGGACAAUAAAAUCAUUUUCGGAGGCAGCGGACCACGUCCCCCACCACUACCAGAUCCGAAAAGAAAUCCUUUUACAUAUGCCAUGUGAACGUAGACAUUAUUAGUUAUGCAAAAUAUACAUAGACAAGCUUACGUACAUGUACCAUAUAUCGUCUGUACAAGCAACAUUUUAAAAUAACUAUGUAGUAGUGCUGCAUCGUGUAUAAUAAAUAAAUAAAUAAAUAGUACAUAAUACAUACAUAUAAAUAUAUAUAUAUAUAUACAUAUAUAGAUAAACAUAUAACAUUUACAUACAUAUAUAAGUAGAAGAAACAAAUAAAUAAAACUAAAAACCAAAAACCGAAAACCAAAAACAGAAAACCAUAAAUCAACCGAUUUGAAACAAAUAAAAAACCAAAAACAUAAAGAAGAAAAAUCACUGUACAUAUGUAUGCAUAUAAAUACGACGUUUGACUGACCACCACCACCACGACCACCACCACAUACAUUUACCAGGAUUAUUCCCAUGUAUGUGUGUUGCUGAGUAACAAAAUCGAAAAAAUAGACAAAUCGCAAAACAAGUGACCCCGUAGAAAGUCCGAUCCGAAAAGAAAAUCAAUUGAAAAAUCCCUAGAAAAACUAUCUCGGUCUUAAGCCAAAAGAAAAAAAAAACAAACUUAAGCACCAGCAAUUUUGAGCAAAAAGCACAAAGCACGCUAAUCAGCAAUUAUUCUCAUUGUGAAAGAGUGACUCCGUCAAAAACCAAAACGAUCACCAAUUGAAGUUCAGGCCUGAGUUGCAUUCGUAAACGCUUUCGAAUUUAGAUUUGUUGCUUUCUGGUCUUGUUGUUGCUGUUGCUACUAGAGGCGCGGCCGUUGUAAGCAACCAUGCGUGUGAUUGUGUUAAAGAAGAAUCGGUCGAACAAACGCGGCACUCCGACGGCAACGGCACGUGACCUUCCACCGAAAAAGGCAUUGGCAAAAUUGGCUGACAACUGAAUUGCCGUCAAUCACGACAUUGUCCUUCAGCUGCAAGUUUUGUGUUCGUUAAACAAACUCACAGACACAUCCACACACGCAUACCGAAACAGAGAGAUACACUAAGUUAAAGUGGAUAGACAAAUGGAUGGAUGCAUGGUUGUAUGGAAGGACGAACCCUUAUUUGAACAUAUAUACACACACAUAUAAACCAAAAUUCCCUAACAAACUUGCCACCAUGGAGGAGUGAGUGUGGAUGGAAAGAGGAGGAACUCAGAGAAGACGGGUAUCCGCAUUUCUUUUAUUUCGGCAUAAAAGACCUCUUCGAAUUUCCUCUAGCGUCGCAACACUUUAGACACUGCAGCAGGCAUCGCAC